UGAUAGCGUAGAAGCGUGAGGUUGCUGCGGGCUUCCGCAGGUUUUCCGUGGAGCGAAUGUCAAGUUAUAAAAACUGGCGACAA
rnacentral:ncRNA from 1 species